GCCUGGGUGGCUCAGUCGGUUAAGUGUCUGACUUCUGUUCAGGUCAUGAUCUCAUGGUGCGUGGGUUCGAGCCCCGCAUCGGGCU
rnacentral:tRNA from 1 species